rnacentral:rRNA from 1 species
AUUGAACGCUGGCGGCAGGCCUAACACAUGCAAGUCGAGCGAGCGGCGGACGGGUGAGUAAUGUCUGGGAAUCUGCCCGAUGGAGGGGGAUAACUACUGGAAACGGUAGCUAAUACCGCAUACCCUCAGAUGGGCACAGAUGGGAUUAGCUAGUAGGUGGGGUAAAGGCUCACCAAGCCGACGAUCUCUAGCUGGUCGGAGAGGAUGAACAGCCAACCUGGUACUGAGACACGGCCCAGACUCAUCCGGGAGGAAGCGGUGGGGAAUAUUGAGCAAUGGGGGCAACCUUGACGCAGCCAGGCCGCGUGGAUGAAGAAGGCCUUCGGGUUGUAAAGUUCUUUCGGUAGGGAGGCGUUAACUACAGAAGAAGCACCGGCUAACUCCGUGCCAGCAGCCGCGGUAAUAC